rnacentral:misc_RNA from 1 species
GGUACGGUCCGGGGAGAGUGGAUGAGAUGGUUGACGCGAUUACGAAGGGAGAUUGUGUGUUGCUCUCACGGGUACCAUAUGGCUCUGUACUGAACAUGUUUUUCAGAACGUCUCCAGGAGCCAUGAGGGUGGUCUCUGACGACAGAGGUACAGAGUGAAAUACUCCAGAGUGAGAUACUCCAGAGUGACAACGGAGGGCCAUCAGAGUGAGAUACUCCAGAGUGAUAACGAAGGGCCUUCAGAGUGAGAUACUCCAGAGUGACAACGAAGGGCCUUCAGAGUGAGAUACUCCAGAGCGCCGCUUUCAGGUGGUAUGUAUGUAUGUACUGUACAGUAUGUACGUGUACUCGUACCUGUAGCACGCUAGAGAAGAACCCGUGGAACCUACCAACCGUGGUCUCUCCGUGCUCUUACUCUCUCAUGUGCCUUUUUCGAGACUGAAAGCUGCCAGAUGCUCUAUCCGGCGUGCUCGUUGAGGGGAUAUGAGUGACGAGGUUACAGAGACAAGGAGAUCGCAAUGGUACUGCUCGGACUAAGCCGCCGGGCUGAGCUGCCGCCAAUCCAGGCAAGUGAAGCAGGACGGGGCAAGAAGACAAGACCAGGACGUCUUUGUUCAGAAAGAAGCAGACUCUCUCAGUCGGUUCUACAUGAACUUGACUGGCUUGACCCGUACUUUAGCAUGGAUAACAGACAUUGGACACAUGCCAGUCUUUUCAGGACACAAUUCUAGUCUACAAGUACAGUACAGUACACACCAUACUUGCCUCCUGGUUACGUCGUACAAUGCACGUUCGAUCCGCACAGUUGACCACGAUAUUCUGACCACUUUCACCUGAUCUCCAGAUCAGUACAAGUAGUCCCAGAGAUCUUUCAGGUCGUGAGUCGACAAUGGUGAUGUCUGGGUGGAGCUCGUUCAGGAGGUUCUUGUGUUUCUAUUGUUACCAUGACUCGGAUACCUCGCGCGGCUUGAGCUCCACUCCAAGGCUCAGUUGAAGACAACAAGUAGAUCAAUCAUUGAGAGAAUGCUUCUAGUCUGUACAUACAGUACGGGUAGCACAUAUGGUACUUACACCUUUCCAGAUGAUCGGUAAGAACAAUGGAGAUCUUCAAUCUGUUCGGCUCUCAAGUACGACUCCGAUCCACUCGGAUACAUAUGUCUGUAGUUGAUUUUGUGUUCUAUCCCGCCUCCCAAAGAGUGGUCAUCAUCUUCCUGGGUUGGAACAGCCGCUUUUGCAAGUCAUGUGGGAAUCGUUGAUGUAUUUGUUACAUAAGAUCCAUCUAUGUGAGUGGUGAAAUUGGAGAAUUACUUCAUUGAGAGUACACAUGGUCGUUUUUCUAUAAAGGAGGGCUUUUUCUGCUUCUCGUUCUGUCUGUUUCUGCUGUCUAUCAAGUCCUGAUUUGUCCAGGCCACUCUCAGCACUGUGGAUUCGAUCUUGGUCUUUUUGGGCCGUGAUAAAUGUCUCAGUCCUUUGCCAAAUCGCCUAUGUAGAGAAAUUCCAGCUACAGUACCCUGGAUUCAUCGUAUUGACGGAUGACAUAUCAACAACC